CUUCCCUUAUAUAUAUUGACCGCUUCUUCUAUAAUUCUCAUUCGUCUAAAAGAAAACAAAAACCCUAAUUCUUCAUUCUUUCUUUAAUACCUAAUUCUUCUCGAACUCGAGCAAGCUCUGUGAAUGUUUAGAAAUCUGAGAGAAUCAUCGAUCUCGAAACCAUCAGCCGAUCGAUGCUCCAUGUAGACUGAUGUUAAUCCGACAAAGUCAGAGACCAAUGCCGUCGGAACUGUAACUCGAAAGAUUUUCUCGUGUUUGAUCAAUCAGAAUGAUUCCAAGUCGGAUCUCUCUAAUCUCACAGGAGCAAAAGAUCUCGCCACUGUUCAAGAGUUACUAUGGAUGCAUCCUGUGCGAUUCUCUCCGGCGGAUUAAUUUUGUCAACGGUGGCAAGUGAGAACGAGGACUAUGUAGCAGAUUCGAAUUUCGAUGGAGUAGCCUGAGGAUGAAUGAAAAAGAAAAUCAAAACUGAGUUUCAGUUUCGACAAGGAGCCGGUGCAGUGAAGGCUAACUAAUGGGCCUUGGCAAUGGGCUUUUCGCACUUCUCACACUACCCAAAUCCAACCAAGUGGGAAGUUGCAAUCUGAAUUUGUAUUUGUGUUGACACAAUUCAGCUCGUUCUUAGUCUUCGGUCCUCACCUUAUUGGUACAUAAUACUCUCUUUUAUUUGACUAGUUUUCUUUACUCCGUCUAAAAUACUAUAUCUAUUUUGUUUGAACUUGGAUAAGAGGAUAUAGGAAGAUACUUUUUGAAGGCGACUGCGAGAUAUUUAUCAAAGCGUUAAAUGAUUUUUCUCAACAUCAUGAAAUCACAAAUCUGUUCCAUAACAUUGAUUUUUGGACUUCAAAGUUUUUCUCUGUUAAUUUUGCUUUCAUAAGACGUCAAUGUAACAGCGUUACCUAUUUCUUAGCAUCUUAUGGUUGUAAUAAUGUAAUGUUUUAUUCAAGUUCGAAUAAUCAGCCUCUGGGGCUCAAAAAACUUCUUUGUAAAGAUUCAAUUACAUGAAUGAAAUCUCUGUUGCAGCAAAAAAAAAAAAAUUGUUUGAAAUAACUUUAUAAAUCUUUAAACCUUCACUUGGCAAUUAAAUUUGGAUGAUAUCAUUUGUAUAAUCACAAAUUAUUCAACAUUUUUUUCGGUAGUGUCAUCUUUGAAUACAGAAAAAAAAAAGUGGUAAUAGCUAAUGGCUUAGUGAGUAAAUUUUAAGCUGGAAAAGGUAAAAAUGAAUAUAAAUUAAGUAAAUGACUAUUCAAUUUCAUUUUAGAAAAAGAAUUGUUAUUUGGACAUCCAGUUUUUUU